rnacentral:rRNA from 1 species
ACACUGGUACUGAGACACGGACCAGACUCCUACGGGAGGCAGCAGUGAGGAAUAUUGGUCAAUGGGCGUAAGCCUGAACCAGCCAAGUCGCGUGAGGGAAGACGGUCCUACGGAUUGUAAACCUCUUUUGCCGGGGAGCAACGGGGUCCUUGCGAGGGCCCUAUGAGAGUACCCGGAGAAAAAGCAUCGGCUAACUCCGUGCCAGCAGCCGCGGUAAUACGGAGGAUGCGAGCGUUAUCCGGAUUUAUUGGGUUUAAAGGGUGCGUAGGCGGGCUGUUAAGUCAGCGGUCAAAUGUCGGGGCUCAACCCCGGCCUGCCGUUGAAACUGGCGGCCUCGAGUGGGCGAGAAGUAUGCGGAAUGCGUGGUGUAGCGGUGAAAUGCAUAGAUAUCACGCAGAACUCCGAUUGCGAAGGCAGCAUACCGGCGCCCUACUGACGCUGAGGCACGAAAGCGUGGGUAUCGAACAGGAUUAGAUACCCUGGUAGUCCACGCAGUAAACGAUGAAUGCUAGCUGUCCGGGACUUCGGUUCUGG